AGGGACCAAAAAGGAUUUCCCCAGGAAUUAUUUCCUGUGAAGAUGUAUGCAUUAACUACAGAGGUGCCGAAGAGGAGUUCUCGCAUAAAAAGGGAACAAACUAAUAGACCUGGCGUUAUCAAGUGAGGAGCUUCACCCCAUUUCUAUCCUUUCUGAAUGAGUCAGUAGCUGUGAUUUGGGUAGCAUUUAGCAAUACAUACAUUUGUG
rnacentral:misc_RNA from 1 species